rnacentral:rRNA from 1 species
AGCGAACGCUGGCGGCAGGCCUAACACAUGCAAGUCGAACGAAGUCUUCGGACUUAGUGGCGGACGGGUGAGUAACACGUGGGAACGUGCCUUUAGGUUCGGAAUAACUCAGGUAAACUUGUGCUAAUACCGAAUGUGCCCUUCGGGGGAAAGAUUUAUCGCCUUUAGAGCGGCCCGCGUCUGAUUAGCUAGUUGGUGAGGUAAAGGCUCACCAAGGCGACGAUCAGUAGCUGGUCUGAGAGGAUGAUCAGCCACAUUGGGACUGAGACACGGCCCAAACUCCUACGGGAGGCAGCAGUGGGGAAUCUUGCGCAAUGGGCGAAAGCCUGACGCAGCCAUGCCGCGUGAAUGAUGAAGGUCUUAGGAUUGUAAAAUUCUUUCACCGGGGACGAUAAUGACGGUACCCGGAGAAGAAGCCCCGGCUAACUUCGUGCCAGCAGCCGCCGUAAUAC